UACGUAGGGUGCAAACGUUGUCCGGAAUUAUUGGGCGUAAAGAGCUCGUAGGCGGUUUGUCGCGUCUGCUGUGAAAUCCCGAGGCUCAACCUCGGGCCUGCAGUGGGUACGGGCAGGCUAGAGUGGCGGUAGGGGAGACUGGAAUUCCUGGUGUAGCGGUGAAAUGCGCAGAUAUCAGGAGGAACACCGGUGGCGAAGGCGGGUCUCUGGGCCGAUACUGACGCUGAGGUGCGAAAGCGUGGGGAGCAAACAGG
rnacentral:rRNA from 1 species